UUAACUUCUAUUUGUAUAGAAUGGGAUUGUUUGCGUACGUUUGCCGCUAGGGGCGCUGUUCCAACUGCAUACAAAUUUGAGUUA
rnacentral:pre_miRNA from 1 species